UACCCCAUUAUGACCCCAUUAAUAAAAAAAUACAGAACUAAGAAAUCUGUGUUACGCAUAAAAAAUGUCAAGUAGGGUAGUUCUGAUCUGGUCCUGCUUGUUGUGGAACAAGACGUUCCUUUGUCCAACACAAAAAUAUUCAGUGUAUCAACCUGUUGUUUUAUUAGCAACAGCUUUAAAUCCCUGACUUAAGAUGUAGCAACAUAAGAAAGAGAUGCUGCAGAUUUGAAGUCAUUAUCGGCUUUUCCAGGACACUGUCAAAAUAACAUUUUGACAGUAAUCUGACAGGAAGGAGGGAUACGGGAAAGACAUGCGGCAGAAGAACUGAGGACCGGAGGCAAACUUGGGACGACCACAUGCCCACUCUAUCCACUGCACUACGUGACGCCUCACAUUCUGCGAAUUUUCUGCCUUUCCCCCCAGCUUACCCAACUAUCUGCCAACUCCUCACACUAUACUAGUGUUGUGCAGAAGUGUUCACAGCCUUAAUUGUUUUCCAUGUCUUGUCAUGCUACUACAACAAUCUUUAAUAGGUUUUCUGGAGAUGUUUGCAUCAGGGCUGCUGGCCCAAGCCUCCAUGGCAAUAUUUUAGAGAUUGCAAAAGACUUCACACUAAGCUAAAUUUUAUUUUGGGGCCCUUUAAAUCUGCUGUUAACGUAGACUGCUACAAAUCAACAGGCGAUUGGAUCAUUCGCAGAGCUGCUAUAAACUCAUUGCAUCUCCGAAUAAUGUUAUGUUAUAUCCUACAUGCAUAUCGUCUAGUGGUGGCAAAAGCAACAAAAAACUAGCAUGCUUUGGACUUGAGAUGGAGUACAUGAACACAUAUUGAUGAUGUGCUUUGAUUAAACUAAUUUAUCUUUGGUGUAAUUCCAGUAAAGAAAAAUUAACUUUA